rnacentral:rRNA from 1 species
CUAACCGCAAGGAGGGCGCUGCCGAAGGUGGGAUUGGUAACUGGGGUGAAGUCGUAACAAGGUAGCCGUAUCGGAAGGUGCGGCUGGAUCACCUCCUUUCUAAGGAGA